rnacentral:rRNA from 1 species
UACAGAGGGUGCGAGCGUUGUCCGGAAUCACUGGGCGUAAAGGGCGCGUAGGCGGCGCGGUAAGCGUGCGGUGAAAGCCCGGGGCUCAACCCCGGGUCGGCCGUGCGGACUGCCGGGCUGGAGCACUGUAGAGGCAGGUGGAAUUCCGGGUGUAGCGGUGGAAUGCGUAGAGAUCCGGAAGAACACCGGUGGCGAAGGCGGCCUGCUGGGCAGUGGCUGACGCUGAGGCGCGACAGCGUGGGGAGCAAACAGG